rnacentral:ribozyme from 1 species
GUAAAUUGAAAAAGAGAGAUAGAACGAGGAAAAGAGUGAGAUUGAGGGAGAAAAGGAGAGAGGGAUUGUAUGUUUGUAUGUUUCUCUCCGCUUGUCAUACUUUCU